rnacentral:rRNA from 1 species
UACGUAGGGGGCAAGCGUUAUCCGGAUUUACUGGGUGUAAAGGGAGCGUAGACGGCAUGGCAAGCCAGAUGUGAAAGCCCGGGGCUCAACCCCGGGACUGCAUUUGGAACUGUCAGGCUAGAGUGUCGGAGAGGAAAGCGGAAUUCCUAGUGUAGCGGUGAAAUGCGUAGAUAUUAGGAGGAACACCAGUGGCGAAGGCGGCUUUCUGGACGAUGACUGACGUUGAGGCGCGAAAGCGGGGGGAGCAAACAGGAUGAGAAACCCGUGUAGUCAGGCGGACUGACG